GCCCUUCCUCCUACGGGUGGCAGCAGGCGCGAAAACUUUACAAUGCCGGCAACGGCGAUAAGGGGACCUCGAGUGCCAGGUUACAAAUCUGGCUGUCGUGAUGCCUAAAAAGCAUUGCAUAGCAAGGGCCGGGCAAGACCGGUGCCAGCCGCCGCGGUAACACCGGCGGCUCGAGUGGUAACCGUUAUUAUUGGGUCUAAAGGGUCUGUAGCCGGCCGGAUAAGUCUCUUGAGAAAUCCAGCAGCUCAACUGUUGGGCUUUCAGGAGAUACUGUUCGGCUCGAGGCCGGGAGAGGUGAGAGGUACUUCAGGGGUAGGGGUGAAAUCUUGUAAUCCUUGAAGGACCACCAGUGGCGAAGGCGUCUCACCAGAACGGACCUGACGGCAAGGGACGAAAGCUAGGGGCACGAACCGGAUUAGAUACCCGGGUAGUCCUAGCCGUAAACGAUACUCGCUAGGUGUCGGCCACGGUGCGACCGUUGUCGGUGCCGUAGGGAAGCCGUGAAGCGAGCCACCUGGGAAGUACGGCCGCAAGGCUGAAACUUAAAGGAAUUGACGG
rnacentral:rRNA from 1 species